rnacentral:rRNA from 1 species
CCUACGGGUGGCUGCAGUGAGGAAUAUUGGUCAAUGGGCGAGAGCCUGAACCAGCCAAGUCGCGUGAAGGAUGAAGGACCUAUGGUUUGUAAACUUCUUUUAUAUGGGAAUAAAGUGAGGAACGUGUUCCUUUUUGUAUGUACCAUAUGAAUUAGCAUCGGCUAACUCCGUGCCAGCAGCCGCGGUAAUACUGAGGAUGCGAGCGUUAUCCGGAUUUAUUGGGUUUAAAGGGUGCGUAGGUGGUUUAUUUAGUCAGCGGUGAAAGUUUGUGGCUCAACCAUAAAAUUGCCGGUGAAACUGGUAGACUUGAGUAAAUUAGAGGUAGGCGGAAUGCGUGGUGUAGCGGUGAAAUGCGUAGAUAUAACGCAGAACUCCGAUUGCGAAGGCAGCUUACUAAACUGUAACUGACACUGAGGGACGAAAGCGUGGGGAUCAAACAGGAUUAGAUACCCGAGUAGUC